UACGUAGGGUGCGAGCGUUGUCCGGAAUUAUUGGGCGUAAAGCGUGCGCAGGCGGUUUUGUAAGUCUGAUGUGAAAUCCCCGGGCUCAACCUGGGAAUUGCAUUGGAGACUGCAAGGCUAGAAUCUGGCAGAGGGGGGUAGAAUUCCACGUGUAGCAGUGAAAUGCGUAGAGAUGUGGAGGAACACCGAUGGCGAAGGCAGCCCCCUGGGUCAAGAUUGACGCUCAUGCACGAAAGCGUGGGGAGCAAACAGG
rnacentral:rRNA from 1 species